rnacentral:tRNA from 1 species
GGCUAGGUAGCUCAGCUGGUCAGAGCGAGCGGCUCAUAACCGCUAGGUCGAGGGUUCAAGUCCCUCCCUAGCCA